GGCCAGCAGCCGCGGUAAAACGUAGGAUCCGAGCGUUAUCCGAAUUCACUGGGCGUAAAGCGCGUGCAGGCGGUUCAGUAAGUUGGAUGUGAAAUCUCCUGGCUCAACUGGGAGAGGACGUUCAAUACUGUUGGACUAGAGGACGGCAGAGGAAGGUGGAAUUCCCGGUGUAGUGGUGAAAUGCGUAGAUAUCGGGAGGAACACCAGAGGCGAAGGCGGCCUUCUGGGCCGUACCUGACGCUCAGACGCGAAAGCUAGGGGAGCGAACGGGAUUAGAAACCCCGGUAGUCCUAGCCGUAAACGAUGUAGACUGGGUGUUGGUGGUGUAAAAACCACCGGUGCCGAAGCCAACGCGAUAAGUCUACCGCCUGGGGACUACGGCCGCAAGGUUAAAACUCAAAGGAAUUGACGGGGGCCCGCACAAGC
rnacentral:rRNA from 1 species